rnacentral:misc_RNA from 1 species
GGCAAAUAUGAAACCUUUGUUGAGUGUAUCAGAAACAUUUUCGCUGGUUUAGUAUAACGGAGAAUUUUCUUGUUUAAGGCUGUGAAUCUGUGAUGGCGUAAGUAGGGAAAGUUUAGUGCUGAGGGAAUAUAAAUCCAUUUCUCAACAUGGAGUCCUACUCUAUGGAUGAAUUGAGGAGUGAGAUCUAUGCAAGAGCAGGCAUGCCAAUGGCCCAAAUGCUGG